ensembl:lncRNA
GCGUCUGUCUCCUUGCUGAGACAUGGUGGGGAAUGUCUCAGAGGAAGCUCAAGUUCAUGGGGUCCUCUCCACAGGGACUGCCCCCGCUGUUGGAAAGAACUGGCUUCACUCUUUCUUCAACUGCCUCAAUCCCUGAAAUCUCCUUUUGGAAAGGAACCCUAAAGAAAAAAAAUCGACAAAGUAAAAAAUAGUGAGGAAGAAGCAUUUUCCCAGCUUUCUUCUGUUAUGCAGUUUAGACUCUUAGCAGGGCAAUGUCUCGAAACCAACUGGUUACAGGAACCAUUCCCAGAAUGCAUCCAGCUUCUUUACAGCUGCCAUGAUUUCUGAGUGUUCUUCUCCAUCUCCUCAAUAGUUAUACAUCUUGAAGCAAAUGGCUGGUGUUGCUGUCAUGAAGAAAACUCCCUUUGUCUCACCACCAGCCAGGAUGAGGGCUGACGCAGCGUGCCCACCCCAGCCUAGCUUUUCUGCUGAGACACCUCCCAGCAACCACCCAGCACCAAACCCAGCUCACCUGUUCAGCCUGGUUAGCCUAAGCUGUGCCCAGCUCACACACAUGCCGCAGUAGUGCUUCUGAUGGGCACUCACAAGGCGAUCUUUCUCAAGGAAAGCUCACAGCUCAGUCUCUGUGUGCAGCAUGCUCACCAGAGCAUCAGCUCUACUCACCAGCUGUGGCACAAACGUUCCCACCCCAGCAAUGGUUGUGAACUCAGCAUGCACUUGCAUCACUUCUGUGCAUUCAUCAUAGGCAAAGGGUGUGGUCACCUCCUAGAUCCAAAUUUUAAGAAACCAACAGUAGGGUCACCCAAUGGGGUUACUUGAAAUAAAAUAACAAAGAAAUUAAGAUCAUUCUCACGCAGCCAGCUCUCGCUCAGGCACCGCAGGAUCAGACCAAGGAGACAUUGCCCCCAGCCUGCCUCCAGGUUGGAGGCCAGAAGGAUUUGAGCUCCCAAGCAAUCAGCAAGCAUUUGGAUGAGCCAGCUUUCUGCUUUUUACAAGGACAGACAAGUCCUUCUUGGCAAAGGCAGAAUAGCUCUGUUCUUGGGCCGCAGUUCUCCAUGGCCAGGCACUGCUCAAAUACUGGGGCUGGACUUCCUCCUGGGCAUCCACACAUGUUCCACCUCUCCUGUAGCUUUCUGCAGAGUUUGUGGCUUCCUGCUGGGGAGCUUCUCAUGUUCUUCUGCAACAUCAUUCCUGCCUCCUCUGGUACUGUACUGGGAGAUGCUCCAGAGUCCAUGAGCCUGGACUUCCUUCCUCCCAUCAGCAGCUGCUCCUACGCUGACCUUCACUCACACUGUGAUACUGUCCACUUCUAUCAUGAGCUGCCCUGCAAGGGAGAGAAAUAAAGCAUGGGAUUAACGCAAACUCAGAAGCCCAAGGCUGUGUCACCACCAUGUAUUGCAGCCUUGGGAAGCCAGCUGCAACUACAACCUUUGUCAGAAUUAAAACAGGUGCCCAGGUACUGUACAUUAAGUGCGACCUCUGACCAGAAGUAAUUGCCACAAUCAGAAAUAAAUACUGAAAUCGCUCACUUUACUGUAGGUGGUUACCUCCAAACUCUUUUGCUUUUGGGAAAAUAUGGACUCAGAAUUGAAGGAUACAAGAAAAAUGACAUUUACUCCACUGGAGGUGGUUAAGCUUGAAAGUAGGACUCCAAAAAAGAAAAGGUUUUCAACUCCUUGUAAGACACAAAGUGAUGGGAUGAUUGCCCACACCUGCAGAAAACCUGAUCUGCUCUACCACAGAUGGCUGAGUGACACAAAAGCUGUGCUGCCCAUUCAGAAGCGUGUGGGGCAUGGAGCGGUUACACACCAACGCACAGGAUGCAAACAUUCCUCAGGCACUUUCCGAUCGGAAGGGAAAUCCCUUCUCCCUGACAAACCAUCUCCACACCUCUCCUCAGGGCUGCACUGACACAGCACAGAAACCAUGCAAAUGUUCUUUUCUCAUCAUUGUGGUUUUUAACAGACCCAGACAAUGAGGCCAACCAAUCAGGUCACUGUGCGGGCUGCUGGGUGACACUGCCAUCAUUUCAAGCCAUUGCUUCCUAGAGGCAAAGGAAGUAAAACACUUUAAGGCACUUUCACACAAAGAUUGCAUAGUUUACUGUUCUUUUACACACAGCAGAAGGACAAAACAGGAGAUAUGUGCAGCUGCAUCAACACCCCAGUUGCUAAAGGAAUGGAAAGACAGAAAUAUCAAAAGUCAAUACAUUAUUCUAAUACAAAAGAGGGAAGCGCAAACAAUAGGCAGUGGGCACUCUUGAAGAAAAUCCUAGGCCUCAAGUCCUGGCUGGUACAAAAUAAAGCCAGAGCCCCUGCCACGAAAGGCAGCUCCUCCCCGCCCCCAGCUUCCAGCAGUCCGGGCUCCGCACGGCCGCAGCCCGGCACCGACCGCCGCACCGCUCCGCUCACGGUCCCGGUCCUCGAGAUGCACAGCACCGGCCCCGGGCCGGCCCGUCGCGGCCUCUCAUUGGUCAGUGGCAGCGCCGCCGGCUCCGAUUGGCUGAUCCGCAGCGCGCGGAAGCCGCCGUUGGCAGUACGCUCGGGGCAGCCCGGCUCUCCCCUUGUGGUAUCCAGUGACACAACAGUAACACAUCCCGCUACAAUGCCUCUACUUGCCUUGCCUCAAGUUGAUGCUGUUGGGAUUUUUCUUGGUUGUUGCUUUCCUCCUACAUCCUUUUUUUAGGCUGUUAAUUCUGUGAAAGCCACAUGAGGUACUAUCAGGUAAUUAUAAAAAUAAUAACAAAAAACAAAUUGGGAAAAAAAAAAAACACCAACAACAAAGAGCCCACCUCUGAACUGCACUAGGAAUUUUCCAAAAGACCUCAGACAACUCAGACAACAUGAAUGCACAGGACUUAGGUGAUGGGUAAUGGAAAGGAAAGCUGAACACACUGAUCUCAAAAGACUGUAUAUUCCUUCUACUCGACCUCGCUACUGACCACAGAUAUGCCUAUGUAUAUCUAGGAGGAAAAAACGGAACGGUCAAAGUAUAUUUCAAGAUAUAUUUGAUUUAUGUAAAGUACUCCCCUGAAUUAUGCCCAAGUAGCAAAACAGCAUGCAAUUAAGAACUUUGCAGAAAAGAAAUAGAGUGUGUUGAGUGAGACCACUCGGCAUGUGCAAGGCCAGGGUUCCUGAAAGGCAGGUCCUGCUGAACAACCCAAUCUCCUCCUGUGAUCUAGUGACUUAGGCAAUAGUGACCUUGGAUCGGGUAUUGCAGACUCAUAGAAUGGCUUGGGUUGGAAGGGACCAUCGGGAUCAUGAAGCUCCAAUCCUCCCCGCCACAGGCAGGGCCACCAACCUCCACAUUUCAUACUAGACCAGCACCUCACCAUUCUCAUAGUAAAGAACUUGUUGGUAUUGAAUGGUCCAAGGCUGUGCAUCCUCACUCCAAAAGGAGUCAUUCCUAACUUCACUGUAUUUGCUUACUAACCACUCGGACGCAUAUAGGAGAUUCAGUCCACAGCCAGCUCUCAAGGCUAGCUGGACUGCCACGGACCUAAAAAUUGCUAAGGAGGAAUACAGGAGCCGUCUGAUAACUUAAAGUUAUAAAUGUGCGCUCCCAGUCAUAACAUGUGAUAAAGCACUCAGAGACUACUGAGGUUGUAAGCAAGAGGAGAACAGCUGCCCAAAGCAGUGAUGUUGAGGGUGCCACAGAUGUCCUGCAAAAACAGCCAAGGCGAGGAGGGAUACUGCCAGGCACAGUGGUUAGGUCUGCAUUUUCCUCCUCGGGUACCUGAAAGACAGAGAGAAGACAAAUUCUGGUCCUAAAAGAACUGGUAUUAAAAAGAAGGUAAGAAUCCACCAAAGGCUGCAAAAGUUCAGCGUGAUAUAGGUUGGUUUGUUUCGCAAUAGGGAUUGGCACAUUGGUUUAAGAACCAAUAUACUAGUUUAGCAAAAGGAAUCCAUAAGUGAUAGUUGUAAAACUUCAGUGGGUGAACGGUCUUGUUUUUUCUCAAUAAUUCUGCACUGGGGAUAUAAUAGAAUACUUUUACCUUCCGCCUCAAUGAUUUUGCCUCAUGAUAAGGGCUGGAGUCACA